CCCUUUACAUUUACUUUACUUUUGUUUUUCAGAGCCCUCCACUGGCUCUUGGCUGCUUAGCAAAAGGCAAAGCAAUAAAUUACCCAGGCAUACUCACACUUGUGUGCUACAUUCCUGUUUUCUUCUACUCAGUAAAAUGUGCCUCAGAUUAAAUUGUUCUCAUCUAUUUUGCCUGUCUCGCUCAGGUGCUGACUUGUCCAGAACACGACCAGGAGAAGCUGCAGUUCUAUUGUCGGUCAUGUCAGCGGCUGCUCUGCCCCCUCUGCAAACUGCGCCGCAUUCACACCGGACAUAAAAUCCUCCCAGUGGCCCAGGCGUACCAAGCGCUGAAGGAGAAGAUUACAAAGGAGAUGAACUACAUUCUGUCCAACCAGGACACAGUUUUGGCUCAGAUUACCCAGCUGGAGAGUUCCAUCACACAGACUGAGGUAAACAGUGUAUCGGCCAGAGAGCAGCUGGCUCAGAGCAUCAGGGAUUUGACGGCCGCUCUCGCCGAGCGUCACACUUCGCUCACCCAGGCUGGAGGGGGCACGGCAGAAAUGAGGCGAGGCACUGGCUGCUCAAGUGGCGGAGAGACGUGGCUUGUUGGAACA